rnacentral:misc_RNA from 1 species
GUCCUUGCCUUGCACAACCAUAACAGCUGGACCAAACACCAAGCAACGCCCUAAAACGACAUCGCUUUACGAUAUCUCCUCUAGUCCUUUUUCACCGUUUCACUCAGCCUGCUUCUCUUCCACUCUCUCUAUAGACCACCGUCUUAUCUCAUCGUCGCCGUCAGAUCCAGAAAUGGAGCCAGACGUAAGCAUCGAGACAUCCUGCAUGAUCCGCAUCGCAAUCCUCCCAGUAGGUCCGGUCCCUCCCCGCAUUCUGUGCGACUACUACUCCAUGUUCCUGCGUCACCAUACGAUUUCUCUCUCUGCCAUCAGUUCCUUCUACACGGAGCACCAGAAAUCCCCUUUCGCCAAUCAGCCAUGGGACAACGGCUCUCUUCGAUUCAAGUUCAUACUCGGAGGGUCCCCUCCCAGCCCCUGGGAGGAUUUCCAGUCGAAUCGCAAGAUCCUUUCCGUCAUAGGCGUUUGCCACUGCCCGUCCUCGCCUGAUCUCAAUUCCAUCGUCGAUCAGUUUAGCGUCGCCUGUAAAAGUUAUGCAUCUGCGCUGGUGACGCGGUGUUUCGCUUUCUGCCCC